CCACUGACCCCUCCCCGUUCCCCGCAGGUUCUGGGGGGCUCUCGGGGGGUCCCUGGCCCUGCUGGGUUUGGAGUUCCUGGGGCUCCUCUCGGGGUCUCCACCUUCCACCCGGGCCAGAGCCUGGGCUCGCUGGGGUCUCACGGGGGGGCCGCGCUCGGUCUCACCCUGGGUUGGCUCCAGGCCUGGGACGGCCCCGCCCUUUGGGCCGCGCUCGCGCUCAGUGUCCCCCCGGCCGUGACGGAGCUGCUGCUGCUGGGGCGGGUCCUGCUCUGCCAAAGGGGGGCGCUCUGAGACCCCCCCCGGG